UAAAGAUGCUCAACUAUUUUGGCAUUGAGUUCUCAAUAUAUAAUACAGCUAUAUUGGGAAGAUUUUGCGAUAGUUUUGUAUCAAUAUA
rnacentral:pre_miRNA from 15 species